UACGAAGGGGGCUAGCGUUGUUCGGAAUUACUGGGCGUAAAGCGCGCGCAGGCGGCCAUUCAAGUCAGGGGUGAAAGCCCAGAGCUCAACUCUGGAACUGCCCUUGAAACUGUAUGGCUUGAGUAUGAGAGAGGUGAGUGGAAUUCCCAGUGUAGAGGUGAAAUUCGUAGAUAUUGGGAAGAACACCGAUGGCGAAGGCAGGUCUCUGGGCCACUACUGACGCUGAGAAGCGAAAGCAUGGGGAGCGAACAGG
rnacentral:rRNA from 1 species